GUAGGUGGCAAGCGUUGUCCGGAAUUAUUGGGCGUAAAGCGCGCGCAGGCGGUUCUUUAAGUCUGAUGUGAAAGCCCACGGCUCAACCGGGGAGGGUCAUUGGAAACUGGAGAACUUGAGUACAGAAGAGGAAAGCGGAAUUCCACGUGUAGCGGUGAAAUGCGUAGAGAUGUGGAGGAACACCAGUGGCGAAGGCGGCUUUCUGGUCUGUAACUGACGCUGAGGCGCGAAAGCGUGGGGAGCAAACAGGGGUUAGAUACCCUGGUAGUCCACGCCGUAAACGAUGAGUGCUAAGUGUUAGGGGGUUUCCCGCCCCCCUUAGUGCUGCAGCUAACGCAUUAAGCACUCCGCCUGGGGAGUACGGCCGCAAGGCUG
rnacentral:rRNA from 1 species